rnacentral:rRNA from 1 species
AUUGAACGCUGGCGGCAGGCCUAACACAUGCAAGUCGAGCGGAGCGGCGGACGGGUGAGUAAUGCCUAGGAAUCUGCCUGGUAGUGGGGGAUAACGUCCGGAAACGGGCGCUAAUCCCGCAUACUAUCAGAUGAGCCUAGGUCGGCUUAGCUAGUUGGUGGGGUAAAGGCCUAACAAGGCGACGAUCCGUAACUGGUCUGAGAGGGUGAUAAGUCACACGGGAACGUAGAAACGGGCCAGACUCCUACGGUAGGCAGCAGUGGGGAAUAUUGGACAAUGGGCGAAAGCCUGAUCCAGCCAUGCCGCGUGUGUGAAGAAGGUCUUCGGAUUGUAAAGCACUGUAAGUUGGGAGGCGUUACAAACAUAAUAAGCACCGGCGAACUUCGUGCCAGCAGCCGCGGUAAUUC